GCAUAGAAGGCAGGCAAAUCUGA
rnacentral:piRNA from 1 species